AACGAACGCUGGCGGCAUGCCUAACACAUGCAAGUCGAACGAGACCUUCGGGUCUAGUGGCGCACGGGUGCGUAACGCGUGGGAACCUGCCCUUAGGUUCGGAAUAACUCCCCGAAAGGGGUGCUAAUACCGGAUAAUGUCUUCGGACCAAAGAUUUAUCGCCUUUGGAUGGGCCCGCGUUGGAUUAGCUAGUUGGUAGGGUAAAAGCCUACCAAGGCGACGAUCCAUAGCUGGUCUGAGAGGAUGAUCGGCCACACUGGGACUGAGACACGGCCCAGACGAAUAAGGGGGGGAGGAGUGGGGAAUAGUGCACAAUGGGCGGAAGGAUGAUGCAGCAAAGCCGGGUGCGGGAUGACGGCCUGGGGGUGGUAAACCGCUUUGGGAUGUGACGAAGCGUGAGUGACGGGAAGGGGUAAAGAAGCACCGGCAAACGACGUG
rnacentral:rRNA from 1 species